AGUCCAAUAUUGAAACAUACAGAUUUGUUUUGAACGCUUCACAAUGAACUUAUAUGUGAUAUGAACAAAAAUUUUGUAAUCGAGUUAACACUCGUUAACACUUUUUUUGCCCUAUUUGCAGUAGUGUCCAGAAGGCAUUUGAAAUUUGAAGUAAUGUAAUGUUUUUGGGUAGUGAGUGUUUAUUUGUAUUUGGUAAUAUUGGAUAUGCAAAAAAACAUUUACUACACAUUUACUUUAGUGCAACUUUCAGGUGCCUAAGAUUUUGGCACGGUACUGUACAACUACAACAGGAUCCACCAAUCUUCAGAGUCUGAUUUUACAGGAUCUCUUCAGAAACACUUCGGAAGCACCGGGCUGAUCUGCACUGCUACUGGGCUGAUCUGCACUGCUACUGGGCUGAUCUGCACUGCUACUGGGCUGAUCAGUGCUGAUUGGAAGCACCGGGCUGAUCUGCACUGCUACUGGGCUGAUCUGCACUGCUACUGGGCUGAUCAGUGCUGAUUGGAAGCACCGGGCUGAUCGGCACUGCUACUGGGCUCAUCAGUGCUGAUUGGAAGGACCGGGCUGAUCUGCACUGCUACUGGGCUGAUCAGUGCUGAUUGGAAGCACCUCUGAUCUGCACUGCUACUGGGCUGAUCAGUGCUGAUUGGAAGCACCGGGCUGAUCUGCACUGCUACUGGGCUCAUCAGUGCUGAUUGGAAGGACCGGGGCUGAUCUGCACUGCUACUGGGCUGAUCAGUGCUGAUUGGAAGCACCGGGCUGAUCUGCACUGCUACUGGGCUGAUCAGUGCUGAUUUGAAUCCGUUCACAACCGCUACUAUGGCUACAGCAAAAUGCCAGGCAACGAACCUCAGAAAUGGGAACUUUGAAAAAAAAAACUGUUUGGGUGGUGCCACAACAGAAAAAGUUCCAUAACUUGUUUGCAUUUGGAGACGGUGAAAGGAAAACCAAACCAGGGAAACUAAACCAAGGCAUGGAUUGGUAAGGAAACAAGUGGGUCAGUGUUCAAAUUCAAUUUCAUGCUCGGAGCUGGAGAUGCUCUUUGGCAGGCACUGCUGAAGACACAGGGCUGAAGGAGAUUACUCUGGUAAUACGGAGAGUCCUGGGCCGGGCCUGGAUAUGGCGCUGCUGUUGCCGCCUAGCUCCUCUGCUAACGUAAUUGAAACCAAACGUCUGUCUUUGGCCGAUGCUUACAAACACACACGCACACACACGCACUCCCGCACACAUGCACGCACACACUUAAUAUAAUCAUUAAAGCUCAUUUUUGGCUAAUUCUGCUAUUGUUUAUUUUUUUAAAGUUCCUAAUUAAUCAAUACCAAUGGAUUUAAGAUGUCACCUGAGAAACAUACAAUACUUUUACCAUCACCCAUAUCAGCACACCAGGACACGGUUAAUUUAAAUGGACACAAUUAAACCAAGAACUUCCAUGCAACAGAGUAUCACAGUGCUUUCAUUCGUUUGUCAUUUUGAAUUUCCAGAGAUGGUCGCCAACAGAUUACUGCUGACACAUUCCUGUAAACUGUAAAGGAUGCAUCAAGCCCAGCUAGGCCUCCAAGGCUUUACAAGCACUGCCAGUCCCCUCCUGGCAGACCCGCUGCCUGGGCUAACAGUGCCAGGAAAAAGAUACAGUAGAGCUGUCCCAGCAACAUUGACUGAGACACUUAAUGUGCAUCUUGAGUAGCAGCCUGUUCUCCAUAGAGAGCAUUAGUUAGUGACCAGAGACAUCUGAGAGAAUGCUGGAGAACGACACAGUUUCCACAGAAAAUACCCCUUUGGCAGUUUUUUUUUCCAAUACCGGUGAAUAAGGAUGCAACAAUCCACCUCUUAAUUCCAGUCAGUCCAUUAAAAGGUGUUUAAAAGUCAAUCAUUCACAAUUCAAUAUAAUCUAUUGGAACCCUGACUAUAUGUACAUAUCUACCGGCAGUGAGUUAAAGGUGCAUUGAUCUAUUGAACAGAAAACUCCUCUUCCUACUCCUUUCCAAACCAAUUCAGCAACCCUGUUCGCUAUUGAUGACAAAUUGAGAAUGUGUAUGUAUCCCAAUGGCACACUCUUCCCUACGUAAGGCACUAUUUUUGACCAGAACCAUAUGGAGCCUUUUGAAAAGUUGUUCACAACAAAGGUUGCCAUUUUGGAUACAGUCAGAGAGUGGAUGGCUGGUCUUCUCAAGACCACACAUUGGAGUUGUGAACCCUAUAAUUUUCAUGGCCAUGCACUUCUGUUGCAAUUGAGGGGCCAAUCGAUCGUUUUGAUUCAUGUUGGGGCCCAAUCAGAGAUUCAAAGGUUUCUCUGGCAUUACAAAAGGUUGACCGCAUAGCUGGCAUGAAUGGGAAUUUCAUCGGUUUAGUGUGUGUGUGUGUGUGUGUCCACAGGUUCCAGACCCCAGCUUUUGUUCUUCAAAGUUCAAGAUAUUGCUCAAUACAUUAUUGCAUCAGGUUGAACAUUGGUGGCCAAUGGAAAGAUGUUUUUCUUCGCUAAGUCUGAAUUCAUAUGGCGCUGCCGGCUUUGUUUGAGUUACAGAUUUUAAAGAAUAGUUCUUAAUCAAGAGAAAUCUAACUCACCUGAGCCAACAGAAAAAUAAUUGGGUCAAUAAACAAAUGCGUGACUACGUCAACAUCCAACAUCCCUUCCUUACUAAAGAUUAACUACUGCUUAUAAUCUUCCUCAUUUCUCCUCCACGAGACUUCACAUAAUCCAUACUGAACAGGUGUACACACAGAAGUAUUGCUUUAAUAACCCUCAGGUUCACACACUGUCUCUUAACCACAUCCAGUCCAACAAGUUGUGGCGCUGUGGGAUCGAACCCCGGAGUCUAAAUGAUCAGGAUCCUACCAUGUCAUUAAGGCAGAGCAGAAGGACCCCUUGAAAGCUCUGCCAAAAACUCUCCUUGAAGACGGUGGGGAAAGAAAGGAGUUGUAUUGAUCUGUCUGUCCACGGAUAUGAUAGUUAAGCCGGGUACUGAGAGAGGGAGAGCCCUCAGAUCCAUAUCUCAAAGACUUUAAUCCGGGGGCUCUAUAGUGCUGGGUUGGCCUUCACCUUAACCUCCUGACAACUGCUCCAGCAGAUCAGCCAUGGAAAUGUUAUUCUUCUCACAAUCUCUUAUUCUCGUCUUCAGUUUUUUCAUGUCUCUCUUCUAUCUUUUUUCUUUCCGUCUUUCGUUCUUUCUCAUACAUAUUGGUUAUUAACAGACUGUUCCCAUCCGAAUAACAGUCAGAGGUAAGUUAAUACUGAACCUUCAUUGUCAUCAUUGUUUAACACUUCUUGUCCUCCUAGCUAUUCUUCAAAUAGGAAACUUCAGCAACAAA